rnacentral:lncRNA from 1 species
UUUAACAAGCUGUAACAUCCAAUCCGACUGUCCACUUGAUAUGAAAUUUUGCAAGCAAUUUUCAAUAUAAGUCUUCUAUAUGCUCAAGAAUUUUUAGCCCAAUCCAACUUACAGAUUGUGAGAAAACCUCCAAACCACUAAUGUCACUCGACUGCCAACUUGAAAAGUGAAGUAAAAAUCCUAGCAAUGAUUUCUCUCUUUCCAACCGUUAACUAUGUGUUAAAAUUAGUGUGUAGCUUGAUCUUCAAGUCUUCUAAUACCAUGCCAAUUUUCACCUUAAUCCGGCUAAUAGAUCUUUAAAUAUCAUAGAAAUCCUACCCAACCUCAAACUGCUAUCUUCUGAAAUCCUCUUGUGCUAAAAACUAGAUAUCUCUAAACCAUGUUGUUAGAUUAUCACAAAAUUUUGUAUACACUUAGAAAAUCCAAUA